CGCCGAGUCGGGGGCUCCGGAACUCUCCGGGGCCUAGUGCAGCAACGGA
rnacentral:sRNA from 1 species